rnacentral:rRNA from 1 species
GAUGAACGCUGGCGGCGUGCUUAACACAUGCAAGUCGAACGAAGCACUUUGAAAAGUUUCUUUUAAAGUGACUGAGUGGCGGACGGGUGAGUAACGCGUGGGUAACCUGCCUCAUACAGGGGGAUAACAGUUGGAAACGACUGCUAAUACCGCAUAAGCGCACAGGACCGCAUGGUCUGGCGUGAAAAACUCCGGUGGUAUGAGAUGGACCCGCGUCUGAUUAGAUAGUUGGCGGGGUAACGGCCCACCAAGUCGACGAUCAGUAGCCGACCUGAGAGGGUGAUCGGCCACAUUGGAACUGAGACACGGUCCAAACUCCUACGGGAGGCAGCAGUGGGGAAUAUUGCACAAUGGGCGAAAGCCUGAUGCAGCAACGCCGCGUGAAGGAAGAAGGUCUUCGGAUCGUAAACUUCUGUCCUUAGGGAAGAUAAUGACGGUACCUUUGGAGGAAGCCCCGGCUAACUACGUG